CAGUCGCCGCGGGAAUACGUAUGUCACGAGCGUUAUCCGGAUUUAUUGGGCGUAAAGCGCGUCUAGGUGGUUGUAAGUCUGAUGUGAAAAUGCAGGGCUCAACUCUGUAUUGCGUUGGAAACUGUAUAACUAGAGUACUGGAGAGGUAAGCGGAACUACAAGUGUAGAGGUGAAAUUCGUAGAUACUUGUAGGAAUGCCGAUGGGGAAGCCAGCUUACUGGACAGAUACUGACGCUAAAGCGCGAAAGCGUGGGUAGCAAACAGGAUUAGAUACCCGAGUAGUCCCUGUCUCUUAUACACA
rnacentral:rRNA from 1 species